GUGGAGACGAUAUACCGAUUAUAAUAAUGGCCGCACAUAAAGGAAAUGUGUGGAAUUGGGAGCAACCAGCAGUAAGAUGAGGUCAAAUUGAAAAGACUUAUUCAACAUAAACGUUAUACCAUUUAGAGACAGAGUUUCCUGGGACAACCGUAGCAACAGAGAGACAACAACAAAGGGAGCUGGGAACCAGGUAGUCUCCAAGAAAUAAUGAUGUUGAAGGACAUGGGAGACAGCUUCAACAAAGUAAGAGAUAAACAGAGCGAUGACACGAAGUACAGUACUGAUGUUAGGGAAAAUUGUUAAAUCUUCAGAAAAGUCUUUGUUCUUUUUAGCCCCACUCAUCACACUCAGCUAUUUUUUUUUAAGAUUUGUGGCCUGUAUAUUGGACUCUAAAUGUUUGUAACACUCUGACGUCUGUACAUCUCUGUGGUAACUGAACUGUGGCCUAUUGACUACUUGCCCCCCAAGUCAAACCCAGAAGUGAUGUGGACUGCCUCUACACGAUUCCAACCCAGCAAUUCUAAGUGUCCACAUAUAAAGAUAUGGUUUGGAUGAAUUAUUUGUAAUAGACAAGGUGAAGGAUUAGGAUUAGGUUCCGCUUCUUCCUACUCCUUUUCGGACAUUGUUCCACUUUUGCAAAUGUAACCACGUGAUGUUCCUUAAUGCAACUUGAUCAGCAUGUCUAAAAACAAAUAAACCUUACCGUCCGUCUGUCUCUGUAGCUACCAUUUGUAAGCUAUAUACAACAGAAUGCUGCAAAAUCAAUGAAGUUGUCUGCAACAAGAUCCACAAAGGAAUAUAAUUUUUUUCUGGCUCGCCAAAGUAUAGGUCUGUUAUGUGUAACCUAUUGGAGAUCAUAAAAUCUUUGGUGAACACUGGUCAGCAUAGAAGCCUUGGCAUGCUGCCUGCUUCAGUGAUCAAUACACUGAGUGAAGAUGUAGGUAGAGGAGAGAGAGCACAAUAUUGCUACUGCAAUAUCAGGGAAGGAGGGACAGCAUUGAUUUACCUCCAUCAAUAUACUGUGCAAUACACUAUACCUCUAAAUAAUGCAAAACCAGACAAUUGCUAUUGAACAUGUCCCAUAAAACACUGGACGACUGUGAUUAACCAAUAUUGAAAUAGUGAUUUCUUAAUAUUUCCAA